rnacentral:rRNA from 1 species
GGUGAGUAACGCGUGAGUAACCUGCCCGGCAAGUGGGGAAUACCUCGGGGAAGCUCGAGCUAAUUCCGCAUGACAUCUUUGGGACGACAGUCCUGACGAUCAAAGCGGGGUCGCAAGAUCUCGCGCUACCGGAUGGGCCCGCGCCCGAUUAGCUAGUUGGUGAGGUAACGGCUCACCAAGGCUUCGAUCGGUAACCGGCCUGAGAGGGCGAUCGGUCACACCGGAACUGAGACACGGUCCGGACUCCUACGGGAGGCAGCAGUGGGGAAUCUUGCGCAAUGGGCGAAAGCCUGACGCAGCAACGCCGCGUGGAGGAUGAAGGCCCUUGGGUUGUAAACUCCUGUCGGCUGGGAAGAAAUCAUGCGGUGCUCAUACCACCGUGUGUUGACUGUACCAGCAAAGGAAGCCCCGGCUAACUCUGUGCCAGCAGCCGCGGUAAUACAGAGGGGGCUAGCGUUAUUCGGAAUUAUUGGGCGUAAAGGGCGCGUAGGCGGCCAUGCGUGUCUCCCGUGAAAUCCCUCGGCUUAACUGAGGACGUGCGGGAGAAACUGCAAGGCUCGAGUCCGGGAGAGGGGGGUGGAAUUCCCAGUGUAGCGGUGAAAUGCGUAGAUAUUGGGAGGAACACCGGUGGCGAAGGCGGCCCCCUGGACCGGUACUGACGCUGAGGCGCGAAAGCGUGGGUAGCAAAUGGGAUUAGAUACCCCAGUAGUC